rnacentral:lncRNA from 1 species
AGGAUGUGCAAAUAUUCCUAGCUAUGAUCCAGAGUAUUGUACAAAUCCUAGCAGCACUACUCCAGCGCCAACUGCUGCAUCGAUACUUCAAAGAUAUAACAUAAGUGAGUUAUUCUAUGAAAAGACAAAUGGAACAAAUUCUAGCUCACCAUUUUAUAACAUUACACUGUUAUGGUAUACACCUCCUUCUGUAUAUCCAAUCAAAGGAUACAAGAUUACCUACUUUCAGAGUUAUGCUCAGCCAAUCGAUGUAGAACCCUAUUCAGUAAUAUUUCAAACAGCCUAUAUACCUAAUGUUUUUCAAAAUGAAUCAUCAUACAUUUUCACUUAUUUAAAUCCUGG